rnacentral:rRNA from 1 species
GACGAACGCUGGCGGCGUGCUUAACACAUGCAAGUCGAACGAUGAAAGAGGAGCUUGCUCCUCUGGAUUAGUGGCGAACGGGUGAGUAACACGUGAGCAAUCUGCCCCUGACUCCGGAAUAACUACGGGAAACUGUAGCUAAUACCGGAUAUGCGCCGAACAGGCAUCUGUAUCGGUGGGAAAGAAUUUCGGUCAGGGAUGAGCUCGCGGCCUAUCAGCUUGUUGGUGAGGUAACGGCUCACCAAGGCGA